AUCAGAGAGCUAAGCAUCGACGAGCAACCAAAUGAGAAGAGGACAAACGAUUAGAAAGAAAAAGAAAAGAAUCUUGUCCCGGUUUCGGGGUGUGAAUUGCUCUGCGAAGCCACUGAUAAGUCUCUGAACGAACCCAUUGCUUACCAAGUUUCUCAGAAGGAAUCCACCGAAAAUAAGGACCCAGAUCAUUCACAGAGACUGAACGGCGAGAAAAUUACCAGUGAACAGUUCUAAGAGACUUUCAAAAGGAACCGAGAAGCGUCCUUCAUCCUUCUUCUGUUCUUCUUCCUCCUCCUCCUCCUGUUCUUCAGAAGACACUAAAUAGGAGGUUGAUUGAGGAGUGUUUGAAUUGACGAAGGUAGCCAAAGCAACCGUGAGCAUCUUGUCUGGAAACUUGCAUCAAUCGGUUGAGUGGCUUGGUUUAUUAUCAUCUUCUCUAAGCGAGGAGAGAACUGUAAAGUCAACCAGGCUGCAAUAUAGACGGUCUAAGAAGAUAAGGGUGCCAAAACACGUAACAAUGAUUCAUGAGACUUAUAAUUCUUUGGGGAAGAUGCACGGAGAAAAACAAGUAAAAAUUUUGAUCCUAAGAAUCUUCUACGACUGUUCUUGUGGGCUCCUGAAACAAAGAAGCUUUUAACAGUUCAAGAAGAGUCUGAGUUGAUUGUCCAAAUCCAGGAUUUAAUAAUGUUGGAAUUACAGUUGAGAGAUUGGAUAAGUUACUUUUUAUGUCCUGAAUUUCGUGUUCAUUGCAGCAACCUGCAUGGGCUGACCAUGAUACCACUUUUCAGGAAAUAACUGCAAACUUUGAAGUCAAGGCACAUUCGGAAUCUCCUUGGCAUUCUCGAUCCGAAUGAGAGACAGAUCAUUAGACUACAAUUUGGGCUCAAAGAUUGUAAAGAGAAGACUUCGUCGUAAAUAGGCAACAUGGUUGAUUUAUUCAGAGAGAGAGGGUGCAAAGGCUCAAGAACCGUGAGAUCUCACAUCGGUUGGAUGUGGGAAUAAAACAUUCUUUAUAAGUGUAGAAAUCUCUUCCUAGCAUACGUAUUUUAAAAUCAUAAGACUGAUAGCGAUACGUAAUGGGCCAAAGCGGAUAAUAUCUGUUAGCGGUGAGCUUGGGUUGUUACAAGAACCGAGCCUUGUACAAGCUUAAACGAUGCUGCAACAACCAAUGACUCGGUGACUAAAACACUAUACCGACUGGGAAAUCGCCAUCAAGCUCGAGAAAAAGAAGAAGAAACACAAUUCUUUGAGCCAUGGCAAGGAUGGAUUGUGAAAUGAUUGUAUGGAUUGUGAAGGAUGGAUGGAGACCCAUCCAUUCUAAACGCCUUUCCUAAGACCAAAAAGACCAACUCAUGCUGCCUUACCACAUGGCUGGACCCAUUUUUAUAGCAUCUCCACUUUUCUUUUCUGCUUCCCUAACUAUAAUAAUAUAAUUAUAUACACUCUAAAUUUAUUCUAUUUUUAUUUUU